GACGAACGCUGGCGGCGUGCCUAAUACAUGCAAGUCGAACGCAGUGGGGACGGGUGAGUAACACGUGGGUAACCUCCCAUCAGAGGGGAUACCACUUGGAAACAGGUGCUAAACCGAUACUGAUGUAUGAGCAAGAGGUGCAUUCGGUAGUUGGUGAGGUACCGGCGCACCAAGGCACCGCAGCAUAGCCGACCUGAGAGGGGGAUCGUCCACACUGGGACUGAGACACGGCCCAGACUCCUACGGGAGGCAGCAGUAGGGAAUCUUCGGCAAUGGACGAAAUUCUGACCGAGCAACGCCGCGUGAGUGAAGAAGGUUUUCGGAUCGUAAAACUCUGUUGUUAGAGAAGCGGUAUCUAACCAGAAAGCCACGGCUAACUACGUGCCAGCAGCCGCGGUAAUAC
rnacentral:rRNA from 1 species